UACAGAGGGGGCAAGCGUUGUCCGGAAUUACUGGGCGUACAGCGCGCGCAGGCGGUUGCCGACGUGCCGUGUGACAAGCGGGGGCUCAACCCCCGAGGGCCACGGUAAACGGGGCGACUGGAGGACGGGAGAGGGAUGUGGAAUGCCCGGUGGAGCGGUGAAAUGCGUAGAGAUCGGGCGGAACACCAGCGGCGAAGGCGACUUCCUGGCCUGUUCUUGACGCUGAGGCGCGAAAGCUAGGGUAGCAAACGGG
rnacentral:rRNA from 1 species